UUUCAUUUUCUCUCUCUCGCUCUGUGUCUUCUUCUUCUCCCUCAACCUUCCCCUCUUCCCCUCUUUGUCUCUUUCUUCUUCUUUCUCUCACCGAGUCUUCUUUCUCUCUCAGAGCGACAUCUUCUACUUUCUGCUUUCUUCCUCUUCAUUUCCCCUUUUCUUCAUCAUCUUCUUCAUUUCCCAAAACGAAAUCGACACGGUUAUCAGGUUUUUUUGGAUUUCUGUUUAAAGUGACUGUUUAGAUAUUGUGGUUAGUGUUUUUAUGGUUUAUAUGAUGAUUUUGUGGUUAGGGUUUUUGUGAUUGUGGUUGAUAUCAUGAUUUUUUGGUUAGGGUUUUGAUGCUGCUAUUGGCCAAAUGGAGGUAGGUUGUUCUUUUCAUAUUUCUAUCAAAAAUAUGAAUAAUGUUUUCACCAGUUGCUUUUAACAUUCAGAUCUGUGGUGGCAACAACAUGUUACCGGCGAUUAGUGUGGUGGUGGUGGUGGAAACGGGUUUCCGCCGACGAGUGUGGUGGUGGCCGAAAUAAAAAAGGUUUAUCUAUGACAUUUUCAACUUAUGUUUCAUUAUUAACUCAUUUUAUUGUAGAAAGUGCAAGAUCUGAACUAAUUAUUAUUGUUAUAGCAUUCCAAAGGAAAAAUGAGUUCAUAGACAUUGAAGAAUAUGAUGUCGUUGUUCAUUUUGACUUUGUUGGUUGGUUUGAGUAAUGGUGAAUGUGAGUUCAAAGAAAUAUUUAACUUUGGGGAUUCAAAUUUAGAUACUGGUGGAUUUUUUGCAAGUUUUCCUGCUGAAGCUCCUCCCUUUGAGUCCAUAUCUACAAUCAAUUGGAUCUGAUUUUCAACAUGGAGCAAACUAUGAUACAUUGGCCAAUAGAAGUUCCUAAACAAAUAAGUUCUCUUAAUAGCCAAAGUGAACACAACAACCUCGCUAUCAAGACUCCUAAUCAAUGUACCCAACUUUCUAGAGAUGUAGUAUGCCUCGACAGAUCACCGGGAAAUAACAACCAGCUAAAAACACGAAGACAAAGAUAAGUCGCAUUAUUUACACAGCAGCGACUGUAAGUUGAGAACAUUGUAUGCCUCAUGAAUGUGUGUAGAAACAUUUUAUAAUUCCUGUGACUAAACACUAUUGUUGUUUCAUUGUUAAUAACAGCAGCAACUGUGUUGAGUCUAUGCUUCAUAUAAGUUACUUCUGUCCAAAUUCACUUCCUAAGUGAAGUGCGUGAAAUAUGAAAUCUUUGUUCUCAUGAUGUGAUUUUAAUUUUAGGAAAUCCAUUGAUCUGAAAUUUAAUCUGCACUUUCAAUUUGAAUUUUGAACAAUUAGUCCAUCAUUUUUCUUUGAGAAGCAUGUUCAAUUAUACCACAGGUGCUACAUGAUGUGGAUUUACAGAAGCUGCCUGUAAGAUUUGCAAUGGACAAGGCUGGAUUAGUUGGUUCAGACGGUCUUACGCAUAGUGGUAUGUUCGACGUCACUUUUAUUGCAAAAUAGAUGUAUAUUCUUUUGGAGUUGUUCUUUUCGAAGAAUGCUUAUGCUGAAUUUAUGUUUUCUCAGCUUGACAAAGAUCGCGACGGUUUUCUCAUAGAGAUGAAUGGACUAUGCUUUGCGACACACUUGCUUCAAAACUCACGGGGGCUGGCAAUACAUUAGCUGCAGCUCUCUGUUACAUAUGUGCUGGAAAUAUUGAUAAAAUAGUUGAAAUUUGGUCGAGGAGUCUGUCAGAUGAGCACGAGGGGAAAUCUUAUGUUGACCUUCUUCAGUAAAACUUACAUGGCCUGUUCUUGCCAUAGCCAUACUUCAAGCUGUGGUUGGAAGUCAAGCUAUCAUCACCGAAACUUUCUUGAUAAUCCCUCUUUAGGAUGCUUCCCAAAAGUCAAAAUCGUUCAUACAUCGUUCGCAAUACCGCUUUCGGUGCCAAUGCGGUAAUUCUCUUUCCAUAAAUGGUUUUCAAACUGAAUGAGGUGCGGUAAUUCUCUUCCCGAAAAUGGUUUUCAAACUGAAUGUGGUUUGUGUAAUGUAAUAGGUAAUUGGAUAUGUGUAUGUUUUGUUGUAAAUUGCAGUGGAUUUGGGACCCUUGCUUGACAUGUUGUUUGUAACUGAUUUUCUUUUUGUUUAGUUCUUUAGCUGCUUAUGGAGUGUAUGUGCGUCCUAUGCCAUAUUCGAACGAGAUUGGUUUGCGAAUGCUUAUAGGCGGGGUUGUCAGGAAGGCUGCUGUGUUGGGGUAUCACUGGGGGACAAAGGUUUUCUGAAUUGAUUAAUAUUUUUAUUUAUCCAAUUGAUUUCUUCUGUCACAUGUUAAGAAACACUCAUCAUACCUGAUGACUGUAGAAAUGUCUAUUGUUGGAAGUAUAUGCUUGCUUACCAGUAUCUUGAAAUCUCCAGAUGGGGAAACUAUGAUACGUCAUGGCUUUUUUCAUGGUUGGACUCCUCUAACUUGGGUAACAUUGUUACCAAUAUUUUUCUUUUGGGAUAUAAUUCUUUAGAGCCUGCUAGAUUAUUGUUGUUAUGCUCAUGCCUGUAAGAAGCUAAUACAACCAUCACACCAGUCUUGAAAAUAAAAAUCACACCCUCUAUCCCAAUCACAUGCAUGUACAUGUAAAUUUGGACCAAUAGAUUUUCAGGAUCAAAUCAAUAUCAAUUUUUUUGGGAGGGGGUUUAAUAGUUUCUGUUGAUUACCCUAACUGCCUAUCAACUUUCACUAACAUGACUAAAAUGCCUUCCAUCUGUGGUUCUGGAAUUUUUAUUUUUUGUAUUGGCAAACCUCUUUGAGGGCUAACUUAUGUUGAUAAUUUCAUGUCUCAUAAUUAUCAAACACUUAUGUAACUGGGAUAUACAUUGCCUAUUUUCCUAUGCCAUCCUUUAUGUGUAUUUUGUUAAAUGGUUUAUCUAUCUUUUCAUGAUUAAGGUGAUUCAAUCAAGGCGGGGUUGUGGUGUGUGCAAGAUCAUCAAUUUCUCCACCCUACAAUGAAGAAUGUAAUAGUGAAGUUGGAAGCCAGUUAGGAGGAGUUGAAGGAUUACAUUGACGUCGCCGAUUAAAGACCACAUGCUAAUCGGUUAUUUAAGAAAUUUAUGUCCAGACAACAUUAAGAGUUAGGCGUGUGUAGUGCAUGUUUUGAUAAAGGCAAGAGGGUUUUGUGUUGGUUUUUGUUAUAAAUGGGAGCUAUAUGUAGCGAAGCACAAAGUUUGAAAGUACAAGAGAGUGCACAAUAGUUUACUUACUGUGUUUUUUUUACUAUAUCUCACACUCAUUCAAAUUUGUAAUUCUUUUUGUCUCAAAAUAUUUAGCAGUAGACCAUAUUGGGCUCCAACUGUCUCCUUUCAUUCUCUUUUUUUCAUUAUUUAAGUAUUGUGACAUUUGUUUUUAUGGUUUGGUGGUUCUCCAUUCUCAAUCUAUUUCACAAAAGACUUGAUCUACAACAAUGUAGUUUGUAUUUGGUUGGGUGGUCGGUCUCAAUGGGAGUAGCAUCUGUAAUUGAUCAUAUAUUCUCUAAUAUUUUUAAUUAUCUUUAGUCACAUGAAUUGGUCAUACAUUUACUAAUAUUUUUAAUUAUCUUUAGUCACGGGAACAUUGAUCAAAAUAUUGAUUAUUAACGGGACAUGUAGUUAUUGAUCAAAAUAUUGAUUA